rnacentral:rRNA from 1 species
GAUGAGGUGUGGAUAGGGGAGAAAUUCCAAUCGAACCCGGAGAUAGCUGGUUCUCCUCGAAAUAGUUUUAGGACUAGCCUUAAUUUAGUCUGAUGGAGGUAGAGCACUGAAUUUUUGCGGGGGCGUCAAAGCUUACCAAUGAAUAUCAAACUGCGAAUGCCAUACAGAUGAUGAUUAGGAGUCAGACUACACGAGAUAAGUUGGGUAGUCGAAAGGGAAAGAGCCCAGAUCUACGGCUAAGGUCCCAAAGUGAGUGUUAAGUGGAAAAGGAUGUAGGAUCUCAUAGACAACUAGGAUGUUGGCUUAGAAGCAGCCAUACAUUAAAAGAGUGCGUAAUAGCUCACUAGUCGAGAGGUUCUGCGCCGAAAAUGUCCGGGGCUAAAACACUACACCGAAGCCAAGGGAUGACGAAAGUCAUCGGUAGAGGAGCAAUCUUACCGACGCAGAAGCCAUACCGAAAGGAGUGGUGGAGAAGUAAGAAGAGAGAAUGCCGGAAUGAGUAGCGAGAGUGAGGUGAGAAUCCUCACGGCCAAAUACCCAAGGAUUCCAGAGUAAAGCUGAUCUGCUCUGGGUAAGUCGGGACCUAAGGCGAGGGAGAGAUCCGUAGUCGAUGGACAUCAGGUAUAGAAUCCUGAACUGCAUAUAAUCAGAAAUGUGGGGACACAGAAACUAAAGUCGAACCCGGGAGAGCAAAGACCGGGAUAAGCGAGGUAGCAGGUGGUAGGAAAAACCGCCACGAAAUGCGAAUGCGUGAUAUGUAGCGAAGAAAAGUAGCGAAGUCGAAUAGGGAGCUGUCAAGAAAAGCCGCUAUAGAGUUAUAUGUACCCGUACCGCAAACCGACACAGGUGGGUGGGGAGAGAAUCCUAAGGCCGGCGGGAGAAGCAUUGUUAAGGAACUCGGCAAAAUGACCCCGUAACUUCGGGAGAAGGGGUACCGAAAGGUCACAGAAAAAAGGCUCAAGCAACUGUUUAGCAAAAACACAGGUCUAUGCGAAACCGAAAGGUGAAGUAUAUGGGCUGACGCCUGCCCGGUGCUGGAAGGUUAAGAGGAGAGGUCAGGCAACGAAGCUUUGAAUCUAAGCCCCAGUAAACGGCGGCCGUAACUAUAACGGUCCUAAGGUAGCGAAAUUCCUUGUCGGGUAAGUUCCGACCCGCACGAAAGGCGUAAUGAUUUGAGCACUGUCUCAACAAUGCACCCGGUGAAAUUGAAGUACCAGUGAAGAUGCUGGUUACCUGCGCCAGGACGGAAAGACCCCAUGGAGCUUUACUCUAGUUUGAUACUGGGGUUUGAUGAUGCAUGUACAGGAUAGGUGGGAGACUGCGAGGCGAGGACGCCAGUUUUCGCGGAGUCACUGUUGGGAUACCACCCUUGUAUCAUUGAAUUUCUAACCCGUGGCCGUAAGCCGGUCAGGGGACAAUGUCAGAUGGGGAGUUUGACUGGGGCGGUCGCCUCCGAAAGAGUAUCGGAGGCGCUCAAAGGUUCCCUCAGAAUGGACGGAAACCAUUCAAAGAGUGCAAAGGCAAAAGGGAGCUUGACUGCGACACUGACGGGUGGAGCAGGUACGAAAGUAGGACUUAGUGAUCCGGUGGUUUUAAGUGGGAAAGCCAUCGCUCAACGGAUAAAAGCUACCCUGGGGAUAACAGGCUUAUCACUCCCAAGAGUUCACAUCGACGGAGUGGUUUGGCACCUCGAUGUCGGCUCAUCGCAUCCUGGGGCUGAAGUCGGUCCCAAGGGUUGGGCUGUUCGCCCAUUAAAGCGGUACGCGAGCUGGGUUCAGAACGUCGUGAGACAGUUCGGUCCCUAUC